AGAAACCCUGUCUCGGGGGGGAAAAAAAAGGAAAGGAAAAGGAAAGAAACUGACAGAAGUCAUCUUCAGAGAUUUGUACCAUCAAAGAUGAGUUCCUGAGUAUUACUGGGAGAAAUACUUGCCUGCUGGGCUGUUCAUAACUAUUGAACUAGAGCUCAAAGUCCGUUGCUUCAGACUCUCCAUUCAUCUCUCUGCACACUGGCAGAUUGCUGCCGUGCUUUCUCCAUCCUAUGUGAUGUGCUGAGGGAAGAAGGUCCUUCUGGACCAGCCUCCGCCUCCACUCACACUUCCUUUGCUCCAUGUAUGCCUAUAAAUUUGAGACUGUUUACCCCUCCUAGAUAAUAAUAAUCUUUAUUUCCCUGGUGCGGACAAACAAGAACACAGUAGCAGAACCCUGCACACUGAGUGGAUCUGCAAAGUUGCCAUCUAAGGAUAAAAUAGGCCCACUUGUCCUCGGACCAUAGCAUCUUGAGAAGAAUAGGGCUGUGUGGGGUCCUGAGUUAUUCACCUGUUUUGAGAGCUUGGACCCCAGCCCUUUAGAACAUGGAGGAGGCACAGUCAGAUGCUAGCAAGGUGGUGAAAGGAAAUACAAAGAGUUCUGUGGGUGGAGCUUGCUCGCUUGCUUAGGUUUGUUUCUGAGUUCCUGAAUAGCGCUUUAACAUCUUGUUUUUAGCGACCUUAUAAUUUAGGACUAGUGGGACUUCAUAAAAAUGUCACAUACCUGAGUUCCCAGUUUUCAGCAGAUAUAAAGUGGCACAUCUCUUGUUGAGUCAGGGGACACUGCAGGGGCUGUAGUGCUCCAGGAUCCUUAGUUCCCAAGUUGUCUUUGGUUGCUUUAAGACCCAUGCUGUGUUGUGAAUGACAAGAAUGCUGAUGGUCAGGGCCACGGGAACCUGCUUGCUUGAUCUCGGUGGCCAGCUUCCUUUAUGCCACUUGAACUCCAUCCUGAGAAGUGUUUGCUGAGACCUUGAGAAAUGACCUUCAGGAACAUGAGGAUUCAGAAACCUCCCUGUAGCUCCUUAUCACCUCUCUCUGAGGGCAGAGGCAGUGGCUGGUGAGCACCCUGCACACACACACACCCCUUCCUUGUAGACCCUGCACUUCUUCUCGUUUGCAAUCUGAUUCUGUAAUGACUAUCAGUGGAAUUGCCCGACUUUGUGUUUGCUUGAUAAAAGUAAAUUUGAACAUUUUGUGAUGGUUGAUAGAACUUUGUCCUAAAACUUGCUAAUUCAGACUCUUUAAAACUCUAAUGUUUAUACCAAAGGUUACACUGCAGGCGUAGGUGGUACACAGAGGGUGACUCCCUAGAGUGGGCACUGUGUGCAUUGCUAAGGGGACACAGUGCCCAGUGAGACCAUAUGGGAUUUUACUAAACACGUCAGUCAUGGGUCACACUACCACUGUUGUCAAGUAUUUGUUCUUAAUUGUUAUUGUAAUAUAUUUUCGAUUGUUUUUCUAAUUUAAUUCUCUCUGUUGUCUGACUGUGAACUGCUAACAGUGUUAAAAACUUGAUGUAAAUAAACGAUGCCCCUGGCAGGGACUGUUUCCUGCCAUGUCUC
rnacentral:lncRNA from 1 species